rnacentral:lncRNA from 1 species
UGACUGUCUAAUCUGUUACCACCUUCUCAGAGAUUUGCUCUUUAUCCAUGACCUGAUCCCCAAAGCCUGUAUAUACUCUGGAACUAGGUACCAUAGGAUUUCCAAGGUCUGUGUGAAGGGUGCCCCUGGCAUUGUGUGAGGUCCCCAUGUAAGAGUCCCAUUGUGACUUGUUCCCAGGAAUUUGGAAUUGGGAUGCAGGCAGACUGGGACUAGAAUAGGCUGAGUUUACAUUCCUUGAAAACUGUCUUGGGGUCAGGAGAUCUACGGGCGAGAGGAGGGGGCACCACUGACCCAUGUUUGAUGCAGAUGGCAUUUGAGAAACCCUCCAGAGGACAGGGCGAUGCCUGAUCUGCAUGGAGUCUCAUCGGAGCACAGGUAUACUAUGAUCCGGCCAGUCAGGAUGGCUUUCCAACCUCCCCGGACAUCGGCCACCCCAGCCCAGAUGUUCCUUCACUUUGCCUGUUUUGAUUUCCACUUGAUGGCCGGGAUGAAUGAUGGAAAUUAGGACCAGUGGAGGUGUCCUUGCAAACAGCCUCAUGCUGCUGAGGGAUUCCUGACCCGCAGAUUUCCCCAUCUCUUCUUCCAGAGCUUCCCUGCCACCUCUAGGCCCCUGGUGAUCUUGCCCCUGAACUUGGGAAAUGUGUAAGCCUGCUAAUUCAGGCAUCCUCCGGCAGCCUGC